rnacentral:rRNA from 1 species
AUUGAACGCUGGCGGCAUGCCUUACACAUGCAAGUCGAACGGUAACAGGUCUUCGGAUGCUGACGAGUGGCGAACGGGUGAGUAAUACAUCGGAACGUGCCCGAUCGUGGGGGAUAACGCAGCGAAAGCUGUGCUAAUACCGCAUACGAUCUACGGAUGAAAGCGGGGGAUCGCAAGACCUCGCGCGGACGGAGCGGCCGAUGGCAGAUUAGGUAGUUGGUGGGAUAAAAGCUUACCAAGCCGACGAUCUGUAGCUGGUCUGAGAGGACGACCAGCCACACUGGGACUGAGACACGGCCCAGACUCCUACGGGAGGCAGCAGUGGGGAAUUUUGGACAAUGGGCGCAAGCCUGAUCCAGCCAUGCCGCGUGCAGGAUGAAGGCCUUCGGUUGUAACUGCUUUUUACGGUACGAAAGGUCCUUUCUAAUAAAGAGGCUCAUGACGGUACCGUAAGAAUAAGCACCGGCUAACUACGUGCCAGCAGCCGAC